UCCUGCCUACGGGGGGCAGCAGUAGGGAAUUUUCGUCAAUGGGCGCAAGCCUGAACGAGCAAUGCCGCGUGAACGAGGAAGGUCUUCGGAUCGUAAAGUUCUGUUGAAGGGGAAAAAGAGCGGAGAGAGGAAAUGGUCUCCGAUUGAUAUUACCCUUCGAGGAAGUCACGGCUAACUACGUGCCAGCAGCCGCGGUAAUACGUAGGUGGCGAGCGUUAUCCGGAAUGAUUGGGCGUAAAGGGUGCGUAGGCGGCCUGCUAAGUCUGGAGUGAAAGGUACCGGCUCAACCGGAGAAUUGCAUCAGA
rnacentral:rRNA from 1 species